GGGGAAAAAAUGUGAAACAAUAAAAGG
rnacentral:piRNA from 1 species